rnacentral:rRNA from 1 species
AUACGGAAGGUCCGGGCGUUAUCCGGAUUUAUUGGGUUUAAAGGGAGCGCAGGCGGAGAUGCAAGCGUGACGUCAAAUUUCGGGGCUCAACCCCGUCUCGCGUCGCGAACUGCGUCCCUUGGUUGCGGGAAGGGGAGGCGGAACUCGGGGUAUAGCGGGGAAAUGCAUAGAUAUCACGAAGAACUCCGAUCGCGAAGGCAGCCUUCCGGCCCGUCAACGACGCUCAUGCUCGAAGGUGCGGGUAUCAAACAGGAUUAGAUACCCUGGUAGUCCGCACAGUAAACGAUGGACACCCGCGGUUUGGCCUGUAUGGCUGAGCCGCCAAGCGAAAGCGUUAAGUGUCCCACCUGGGGAGUACGCCGGCAACGGUGAAACUCAAAUGAAUUGACGGGG